rnacentral:rRNA from 1 species
AUUGAACGCUGGCGGCAGGCUUAACACAUGCAAGUCGAGCGGAGAUGAGGUGCUUGCACCUUAUCUUAGCGGCGGACGGGUGAGUAAUACAUGGGAAUCUGCCUGGUAGUGGGGGACAACGUCUCGAAAGGGACGCUAAUACCGCAUACGCCCUACGGGGGAAAGGGGGGGAUCUUCGGACCUUUCGCUAUCAGAUGAGCCCAUGUCAGAUUAGCUAGUUGGUGGGGUAAAGGCUCACCAAGGCGACGAUCUGUAACUGGUCUGAGAGGAUGAUCAGUCACACUGGAACUGAGACACGGUCCAGACUCCUACGGGAGGCAGCAGUGGGGAAUAUUGGACAAUGGGCGCAAGCCUGAUCCAGCCAUGCCGCGUGUGUGAAGAAGGCCUUAGGGUUGUAAAGCACUUUCAGUGGGGAGAAAGGUUAUUCACCUAAUACGUGAGUAAAUUGAUGUUACCCACAGAAGAAGCACCGGCUAACUACGUGCCAGCCGCCGCCGUAAAAC